rfam:Oryza meridionalis cultivar OR44 (W2112) chromosome 3, whole genome shotgun sequence.
AAUAAGUAUAGUUUUGGCACUGUUCACGUCUAAAGUUUGAUCGUUCGUCUUAUUUGAAAAAAAAUAUGAUUAGUAUUUUUAUUGUUAUUAAAUGAUAAAACAUGAGUAGUACUUUACAUGUGACUAUUUUUUUUAAUUUUUUUAUAAAUUUUUUAAAUAAAACGGACGGUUAAAACACUAAACACGGAUAUAUAUGGCUGCACUUAUU